CGGCUUUCACGUUCUGCAAUUGCAUUCACAUGGGUCAUUUACAAAAUUAAGAUCCAAAAAGUAAGGAAAAAGGAAAUUCCAUAUCUUGUACAGAGGCAAGGGAGAGAGAGAGAGAGAGAGAGGGGGAAGGCUAUUAUUUUAUUUCUUAAAUGGAAAGAAUGUUAUUCUUUAUCGUUGAUUACCGAUUCGUUUAUUUCCUAUUUUGGUUCAAUUUGUAUAUGAUAGUGUAAAUAAAUGUUUAUUAUCUCAAAAUAUACCACGGAUUAAGUUGUUCCGAAUUGCUUUCACAGUAAAAGUGUCUAUUCUCCCACAUUGUGAUGAAAUUCCUACUGAUUUAAAAUGAACUUGGAAAUUCAUGCACUGAAUGGAACCAAUUGCUGUGCUAUUUAAAGGAAAUUCUAUCAUUUCUGUAAUCAACUUCUAUAAAACUUUGCAAAAUUAAUUCAACGUAUGUGAUGCAAUAAUAUUAAAAAGGGUUAGUUUGCAACCAUGGGAACAAGUAAUUUUUUUACGACUAAAAGCAACACACACAUACCUGCUGAGUUUUUGAGCUACAUUCUAUGUAAUAUGCGGCCCCUAUCUGUUUCCGCAGCUCCUCACCCUAGGAAAAAAACAAUGAGAAAACCAGUUGUGUAAAUAAAGUAAGCAAAUCCAACUAUGCUAGAGAAAAUAACAAACUUCUGAGAAUAGAAAUCACACUUGUGCAGUAGUCACAGGCACCAAUCCUGGAUGGUCUGACAAAUAGUGCUUAUCCUCUCGGAGAUCUGUUUCUUGAAAGAAAGAGGAAAUGAGAGUACUGUGUUCCCAUAUCAAACCUAAGACUAACCAUAUCUUAUUGGGUCAAUUUUUAAGCAUGAGAGCAAAUAACUAAUAGGAGACAAUUUCAAACUUGAGAGGAAAAACUAAUGGAGAUAAUUUCUGGUUUGGAUAUCCUGCACUGACAGGAUUUGGGCUUUUAACAUAGUAAGAAGAACAUGCACUAAAGUAAAGGAUUUGCUUGAUGGUGCUUGACCUUUCCCAAACCUUUUUGUUUUUCAUUUUCUUCUUUUCAACCUUAACAUUCAGAUUAUAUAUAAUAGGUUCAUUUUAGAAAGGAAAUGGUGACAGUUUGGAUUUGAGGCAUUCAAACCAGAGUUCAUUCUUCUAAACAGAUUCAAAAAGUUUCGAAACUAGUAUGCAUUAACCUACUCAAGGAACUGGUUGCAAGUAUUAGCAUCAAACCUAUUAUUUGAGAAAACAAAUUCAUAGGAAAAAGAUUGGUUUAUUGGCACUGCCAUGAAAACUUAUAUUGGUUAAAGCUUCUUUGCUCACCUAAUUUCGUUCCGACAAGUACCACAGGGACUCCAGGUGAGAAGUGCUGAAGUUCAGGGAUCCACUAACAAAGAGAAUGAUUUUAAACACCAUCAAUAAGCAUAUUUACAAAGAGCAAAACAUAAAAUAAAACAUACUAAAAACAUGAAUUUUACAAGAAAAAACUCACCUUCUUCAGUACAUUCUCAUAGCUAGCACGACUAACUAAUGAGAAAGCUAAGACGAAGACAUCUGCUCCCCUAUAGCUCAAUGGCCUUAACCGAUUGUAAUCCUCUUGUCCUGUGAAACAAACAAAAAAGGGGACAUAAAAUCAAAACAGCAAAACGUUUUCCAACUUAUCAUAAGCCAAACAUGAUAAUAUGGAAACUUUUAAGGCAUAGUUAGUUAUAGCUUUUAAUUCAUAUAAGAUUACUAGAAUAUUUAGUCAUAGAAGGUAAGCAUACUGUACCAGCUGUAUCCCAGAGGCCUAAGUUUACAGUGGUGGCUUCAACUACUACAUUAGCACUGAAGUUAUCGAACACAGUGGGUAUAUAAUCCUACAAAAACAGAUUAAGUCAACGAUAUGGGAUUGAACAAGUCAACAACAUGAAUAUAAGAACAGCAAUUGGCAAUGAAAACGAGUUUCCCUGUUUAUGCUUUAUUAAAAGAAGAAGAAGCAAAAGAAACACUAUAGUUUAAACAAAAUCAGAUGAAGCUAAGGUGAUUUAAGGUACUGCAGGGAACAAAUGAUAUAACCCAAAAACUCAUGAAAGGAACCCAUUUGGGUGGAGAGAAAGAGAGAGAAAAAAGAGUAGUAAAAUCUUGGAAAACACGAAAAAGCUGCAAAAACCCAGAUGCGUACCAGUAAAAUAAAAUACAAUAAAGCAAAAAAAAAAAGAAGUCAAAACAGAGAGACCCA